UGGUUCUGGCAUCGAUGAAGAACGCAGCGAAAUGCGAUAAGUAAUGCGAAUUGCAGAAUUCCGUGAGUCAUCGAAUCUUUGAACGCACAUUGCGCCCUUUGGCAUUCCGAAGGGCAUGCCUGUUCGAGCGUCAUUAUCAACCCUCAAGCCUGGCUUGUUGUUGGACAUCGGUCGACCGUUGGGUCAACCGGUCCGAAAGAUAAUGACGGUGUCGGUGAGACCCUCGGUACAAGGAGCUUUAACGAGCACGUAUCGCGGGGCCCAUCGACCCGGUCUACUUUUUACAAUUCUAAGGUUGACCUCGGAUCAGGUAGGAAUACCCGCUGA
rnacentral:misc_RNA from 1 species